GAUGAACGCUGGCGGCGUGCCUAAUACAUGCAAGUCGAACGCUUCUUUCCUCCCGAGUGCUUGCACUCAAUUGGAAAGAGGAGUGGCGGACGGGUGAGUAACCCGUGGGUAACCUACCCAUCAGAGGGGGAUAACACUUGGAAACAGGUGCUAAUACCGCAUAACAGUUUAUGCCGCAUGGCAUAAGAGUGAAAGGCGCUUUCGGGUGUCGUUGAUGGAUGGACCCGCGGUGCAUUAGCUAGUUGGUGAGGUAACGGCUCACCAAGGCCACGAUGCAUAGCCGACCUGAGAGGGUGAUCGGCCACACUGGGACUGAGACACGGCCCAGACUCCUACGGGAGGCAGCAGUAGGGAAUCUUCGGCAAUGGACGAAAGUCUGACCGAGUAACGCCGCGUGAGUGAAGAAGGUUUUCGGAUCGUAAAACUCUGUUGUUAGAGAAGAACAAGGACGUUAGUAACUGAACGUCCCCUGACGGUAUCUAACCAGAAAGCCACGGCUAACUACGUG
rnacentral:rRNA from 1 species